CUGGACAAGGUGUCUGACCCGUCUCAACACAGCAUCAGACAGCCACCUCUAUUGACUGAAGUUGACAAUGGAGAAUAAAACUCAUUACCCCUGCUGAAUCCAGGGGCCCCUUUUUACAGAUGAGAAAAGUUCCAGAAAGACCCAGAGACAUAAUCAGGUACCUGCGUCGAGCUCUGCACAGGUGACUGGGACUGCAACCCGGGAGACCACUGUGUCAGCAAUGGGUGUGGCCAUGAGUGUGUUGCAGGAUGAAGAGUUAUCUUAAGGAUCAUCUUUCUCUAAGAUCGUCAUCCCUUCCUGGAGUUCCUAUCUUCCAAGAUGUGACUGUCUGGAGUUCCUUGACUAGGAAGAUGGAUGAAAACAGCGAGCCUGUGGAUGGAGACUACAGGGGAUAUGGGAGGCAGGGAAGAGGGGUUGUUUCUUUUAAUAAAUCAUCAUUGUUAAAAGCACUCAUACUAUUUGAGUUAUUUGGUUAAAGGUGAGGAGGAGGGGGAGGAGGACAGAUGACAUCUGUUGCGUACUGACUAUCAACAAGGACCAUGUUAAAUUCUCCCCAGGCAUUAUCUAAGUAACCUUAACAACCUUUUGACUGCAUUUCUUA
rnacentral:lncRNA from 1 species